rnacentral:rRNA from 1 species
GACGAACGCUGGCGGCGUGCUUAACACAUGCCAGUCGAACGGAAGGCCCUGCUUUUGUGGGGUGCUCGCGUGGCGAACGGGUGAGUAACACGUGAGUAACCUGCCCUUGACUUUUGGAUAACUUCAGGAAACUGGGGCUAAUACCGGAUAGGAGCUCCUGCUGCAUGGUGGGGGUUGGAAAGUUUCGGCGGUUGGGGAUGGACUCGCGGCUUAUCAGCUUGUUGGUGGGGUAGUGGCUUACCAAGGCUUUGACGGGUAGCCGGCCUGAGAGGGUGACCGGCCACAUUGGGACUGAGAUACGGCCCAGACUCCAACGGGAGGCAGCAGUGGGGAAUAUUGCACAAUGGGCGGAAGCCUGAUGCAGCAACGCCGCGUGCGGGAUGACGGCCUUCGGGUUGUAAACCGCUUUCGCCUGUGACGAAGCGUGAGUGACGGUAAUGGGUAAAGAAGCACCGGCUAACUACGUG